GUUUAGCCCAAAACAAAUGUCAUCCACCAAUUGUUCGGUUGUAACGUUUCAAACGUUACAACCGCGUUUUAUUCCUCCGUUUCUAUAUUUUCCUAUUUCUAUCUCCUAUAAUAAAUGCUCUGACUAGUUUCUAAAGUCCCCUCGUAUUCUACUCAGUGACUAUAUCUGCUUCGGCGCUGUCACAUGGCGUUGAAAACCCCACCAAAAGAGAGGCUUCCUAUAGGAUGAGUACUCGAUACGAAUCCAUUUCCAAUUCUUUCUCCAUAGAGAAAAUACAUAAUAAUAUACUAAGUUAGAAUAAUUUCGCGGCUAGGUCCUCUUGCCAACCUGGCCAUUUGGGACCACUUGGAACCAUUUCAACUGAAUUUCAUGACAACCUCCAAAGAUAAGGCAUAACACCAGCCGAGGACCACCCUAGGGUGCUCCGGUAAUCAAAUCAACCAAGAAAAAGCCGGCCGAACAUCGAGAAUAUCACAUGGGAAAUCUUAGCUAACUGACAUCAAAGAAGCAGGAGAAGUCGGCCGAACAUCCGUGGACUAAAGUCCACAACAACGGGAACUCCUGGAAAAGUUCAGUUAAGUCCACAGUUUUUUUCCUUUGCUUGAGCAUCGUUUCCUGAUUCGCUGAUUUUAAUUUUCAAAGUUGUAAAUUAUUAAUUUGGUUACAUAGUAAGAUAUAAACAAUAAGAUGUAAUUAAGUAUAUACUAGUUGAAUAAAGAAUAUGUGUUGAAAA
rnacentral:lncRNA from 1 species